rnacentral:tRNA from 1 species
GUUGUAGCUCAGUGGUAGAGCGUUCAUCUAGCACGUGCGAGGCCCUGGGUUCAAUACAGAGCACCACA